rfam:Batrachochytrium dendrobatidis JAM81 unplaced genomic scaffold BATDEscaffold_1, whole genome shotgun sequence.
CAACGGGGCCAUGAGUCACUAUUCGAAGCGAACAUACGGAGUGCCUAGUUGUCUCCCUGUUUCGGCAGGUUGAGACCAUUGACUUUGGUCAUUGUUUAGUGCCUCGGAAGAUUUGCUAAUUCGUUCGAGUUUGCAUUCUUUAUUGCUUUGGGGAAAGUCCUCGGACAUAUGGCAGAAAUUGUCGCUGAUAGCAAAGGUCCUCUCUUUUGCCAUUGCUAGCUAAGGAGGUUUAUUGUGUUUUGAAUGCAUUUUCCUUGAGCGUUUGUUUUGUUCUUGCUUUUGUAAGUUUGAGACAUGCGGCAGUGGUUGAAAGUACUGAUCUGUCAUAGCACAGUUAUGUGACUGCAGUUUCCAUUUAUUUUCUUGGAGAUGAUCCUUAUGGGUUGUUUUUUAGAAAGGGAUGGUACUGUAACUCAACGAGGCUUACUUGGUUUUCCUU